UACGGAAGGGGCAAGCAUUGUUCGGAAUCAUUGGGCGUAAAGGGCGCGUAGGCGGCCCGGUAAGUCCGCUGUGAAAGUCAAAGGCUCAACCUUUGAAUGUCAGCGGAUACUGCCGGGCUAGAGUCCGGAAGAGGCGAGUGGAAUUCCUGGUGUAGCGGUGUAAUGCGCAGAUAUCAGGAGGAACACCAACGGCGAAGGCAGCUCGCUGGGACGGUACUGACGCUGAGGCGCGAAAGCGUGGGGAGCGAACAGG
rnacentral:rRNA from 1 species